UGGGGAAUUUUGGACAAUGGGCGAAAGCCUGAUCCAGCCAUGCCGCGUGAGUGAAGAAGGCCUUCGGGUUGUAAAGCUCUUUUAGUCGGAAAGAAAGAGUUGCAAUGAAUAAUUGUGAUUUAUGACGGUACCGACAGAAAAAGCACCGGCUAACUACGUGCCAGCAGCCGCGGUAAUACGUAGGGUGCGAGCGUUAAUCGGAAUUACUGGGCGUAAAGGGUGCGCAGGCGGUCUUGCAAGUCAGAUGUGAAAGUCCCGGGCUUAACCUGGGAAUUGCGUUUGAAACUACAAGACUAGAGUGCAGCAGAGGGGAGUGGAAUUCCAUGUGUAGCAGUGAAAUGCGUAGAGAUGUGGAAGAACACCGAUGGCGAAGGCAGCUCCCUGGGUUGACACUGACGCUCAUGCACGAAAGCGUGGGGAGCAAACA
rnacentral:rRNA from 1 species